rnacentral:misc_RNA from 1 species
AAGUCGUAACAAGGUUUCCGUAGGUGAACCUGCGGAAGGAUCAUUAAAAGUAAUUGGUUAUACAUAUCCUGUAUCAACUGCACAAACCCAUUCCGAGUACCUUGCCUGUUGCUUCCAUGGGGCCUGACUUUGGUCACUCUUGUGAUGCGAAUCCCAAGAGAGUCCCCAUGGGGGGUAAUCAUUAAAUUCAUGAAUCCAAUGUCUUCUGUCUGAAAUGUUAAAAACAAAUGUUAAAA